rnacentral:rRNA from 1 species
UACGUAGGGGCCGAGCGUUGCCCGGAGUUAUUGGGCGUAAAGCGCGCGCAGGCGGCCUCGCGCGCCCGACGUGAAAGCCCCCGGCUUAACCGGGGAGGGUCGUUGGGGACGGCGGGGCUUGAGGGCGGGAGAGGUCGGUGGAAUUCCCGGUGUAGUGGUGAAAUGCGUAGAGAUCGGGAGGAACAUCAGUGGCGAAGGCGGCCAUCUGGGACAACACUGACGCUGAAGCACGAAAGCGUGGGGAGCAAACAGG